GACAGGGUUUCCUCCUAGCCCGUGGAUUGAUAGACGACACACGUACACCUGAUGACCCAA
rnacentral:misc_RNA from 1 species